rnacentral:rRNA from 1 species
AUGGGCGCAAGCCUGAUGCAGCGACGCCGCGUGAGGGAUGGAGGCCUUCGGGUUGUAAACCUCUUUCGCCAGUGAAGCAGGCCUGUCCCUUUUGUGGGUGGGUUGACGGUAGCUGGAUAAGAAGCGCCGGCUAACUACGUGCCAGCAGCCGCGGUAAUACGUAGGGCGCGAGCGUUGUCCGGAAUUAUUGGGCGUAAAGAGCUCGUAGGCGGCUGGUCGCGUCUGUCGUGAAAUCCUCUGGCUUAACUGGGGGCUUGCGGUGGGUACGGGCCGGCUUGAGUGCGGUAGGGGAGACUGGAACUCCUGGUGUAGCGGUGGAAUGCGCAGAUAUCAGGAAGAACACCGGUGGCGAAGGCGGGUCUCUGGGCCGUUACUGACGCUGAGGAACCAAAGCGUGGGGAGCGAACAGGAUUAGAUACCCUGGUAGUCCACGCCGUAAACGUUGGGCACUAGGUGUGGGGGGGCCUUUCCGGGUCUUCCGC